AAAAAAAUAAGCUAAUUUAAGCUAUUGGGUUCAUACCCCAAUUAUAAAGGUUUUAAUCCUUUUUUUUUUA
rnacentral:tRNA from 1 species